GCGAAGGUGGCGGAAUUGGCAGACGCGCUAGACUUAGGAUCUAGUCCGCCUUGAGCGGAUUGGGGGUUCGAAUCCCCCCCUUCGCACCA
rnacentral:tRNA from 1 species